rnacentral:rRNA from 1 species
GAUGAACGCUAGCGGCAGGCCUAACACACGCAAGUCGAGGGGGAAGUUACUUUCGGGUGACUGAGACCGGCGUACGGGUGCGUAACGCGUAUACAAUCUGCCUUUCACUGGGGAUAGCCCGAAGAAAUUUGGAUUAAUACCCCAUAGUAUAUAGGGACGGCAUCGUUUUUAUAUUAAAGCUUAGGUGGUGAAAGAUGAGUAUGCGUUCUAUUAGCUAGUUGGAGAGGUAACGGCUCCCCAAGGCGAUGAUAGAUAGGGGUUCUGAGAGGGAUGUCCCCCACACUGGUACUGAGAUACGGACCAGACUCCUACGGGAGGCAGCAGUGAGGAAUAUUGGACAAUGGUCGGAAGACUGAUCCAGCCAUGCCGCGUGCAGGAUGAAGGUCUUAUGGAUUGUAAACUGCUUUUGUAAGGGAAGAAUAAGGGCUACGCGUAGUUUGAUGACGGUACCUUACGAAUAAGCAUCGGCUAACUCCGUG